GCACCCGCACAAGCGGUGGAGCAUGCUGUUUAAUUCGAAGAUACGCGAAGAACCUUACCUAGGCUUGACAUCCCCGGCAAAUCUAUAGAGAUAUAGAGGAGGCUACCCGGGUGACAGGUGGUGCAUGGUUGUCGUCAGCUCGUGUCGUGAGAUGUUCGGUUAAGUCCGAUAACGAGCGCAACCCUUGUCUUUAGUUACUAACAUUCAGUUGAGUUCUCUAAAGAGACUGCCGGUAAUAAACCGGAGGAAGGUGGGGAUGACGUCAAAUCAUCAUGCCCCUUACGUCUAGGGCUACAGGCGUGCUACAAUGGCCGAUACAAAAAGACGCGAAACCGUGAGGUGGAGCAAAUCUCUAAAAUCGGUCCCAGUUCGGAUUGGAGUCUGCAACUCGACUCCAUGAAGUUGGAAUCGCUAGUAAUCCUGAAUCAGAAUGUCAGGGUGAAUACGUUCCCGGGUGUU
rnacentral:rRNA from 1 species